rnacentral:rRNA from 1 species
UUUAAAGCCAUUGCGAGUCGAAUGUAGCAAUACAUGGCGUACUGCUCAGUAACACGUGGACAACCUACCCUCCGGACGGGUAUAGACCCGGGAAACUGGGUAUAAUCCCCGAUAGAUCUCGGUCGCUGGAAAGCCCCGAGAUCGAAAGCUCCGGCGCCAGAGGAUGGGUCUGCGGCCUAUCAGGUAGUAGUGGGUGUAGCGUACCUACUAGCCUACGACGGGUACGGGUUGUGAGAGCAAGAGCCCGGAGAUAGAUUCUGAGACACGAAUCCAGGCCCUACGGGGUGCAGCAGGCGCGAAAACUUUACAAUGCCGGCAACGGCGAUAAGGGGACCUCGAGUGCCAGGUUACAAAUCUGGCUGUCGUGAUGCCUAAAAAGCAUUGCAUAGCAAGGGCCGGGCAAGACCGGUGCCAGCCGCCGCGGUAACACCGGCGGCUCGAGUGGUAACCGUUAUUAUUGGGUCUAAAGGGUCUGUAGCCGGCCGGAUAAGUCUCUUGAGAAAUCCAGCAGCUCAACUGUUGGGCUUUCAGGAGAUACUGUCUGGCUCGAGGCCGGGAGAGGUGAGAGGUACUUCAGGGGUAGGGGUGAAAUCUUGUAAUCCUUGAAGGACCACCAGUGGCGAAGGCGUCUCACCAGAACGGACCUGACGGCAAGGGACGAAAGCUAGGGGCACGAACCGGAUUAGAUACCCGGGUAGUCCUAGCCGUAAACGAUACUCGCUAGGUGUCGGCCACGGUGCGGCCGUUGUCGGUGCCGUAGGGAAGCCGUGAAGCGAGCCACCUGGGAAGUACGGCCGCAAGGCUGAAACUUAAAGGAAUUGGCGGGGGAGCACCACAACGGGUGGAGCUUGCAGUUUAAUUGGAUUCAACGCCGGAAAUCUUACCGGGACCGACAGCAAUAUGAAGGCCAGGCUGAAGACUUUGCCGGAUUAGCUGAGAGGUGGUGCAUGGCCGUCGUCAGUCGUACUGAAGAUC